rnacentral:sRNA from 1 species
CAGCGGCGGACCUGUGAGGGAACCCGACUUGCUGGCAGAACUUACGCUGCGGCACCCCGGGCACUGUUGCUGCUGCGGUAGGGAGAAGGCUGAGCAGACCAUCUGGAACCGUUUACAUCAGCUUAAAGCCUUGAAGACAAGGCGGCCCCGCUCCCGGGUUCCUCUGAGGAUUGGAAUUCUAGGUCGAUCAUGCGAGGCUGUGACAACAUGUGUAGCUACUGCAUUGUUCCUUUCACCCGGGGCAGGGAGAGGAGUCGGCCUAUUGCCUCCAUUCUAGAGGAAGUGAAGAAGCUUUCUGAGCAGGUGUGAGCCUCAGCAGCGACUUCAUUGCUGGCUUUUGUGGUGAGACGGAGGAAGAUCACAUUCAGACAGUCUCUUUGCUCCGGGAAGUUCAGUACAACAUGGGCUUCCUCUUUGCCUACAGCAUGAGACAGAAGACACGGGCAUAUCAUAGGCUGAAGGACGAUGUUCCGAAAGAGGUAAAAUUAAGACGUUUGGAGGAACUUAUCACUGUCUUCCGAGAAGAAGCAACAAA